rnacentral:snoRNA from 1 species
AUAACACAAAAGAACAGACAAACUUUAGCCUACUGGCUGGCCUGUAAACUCCCAAGUGCAAGGCAGUGGUGCUGUAUGAGAGGCAAGAUUUUUGCUUAACAGUGUAAGAGUAUCUAUAUCUAGCCCAAUGAGUGGAGUGUGAUAGUUAUCACUGCUACAAUU